GAUGAAGAACGUAGCGAAAUGCGAUAAGUAAUGUGAAUUGCAGAAUUCAGUGAAUCAUCGAGUUUUUGAACGCAUAUUGCGCCCUCUGGUAUUCCGGGGGGCAUGCCUGUUCGAGCGUUAUUAAAUAACCCUCAAGCAUAGCUUGGUGUUGGGCUUUUUUACGUCCUUGACUGGGAUGGGCCUAAAAAUUAGUGGCGAUGGCUUUUUUACUUUCAAGCGUAGUAAAUCUCGUCUUGCUAAAGAGGAAAAAGAUUUUUUUUCUGCCAAAAAUUUUAACAUUUAAAGUUGACCUCGGAUCAGGUAGGAUUACCCGCUGAACUUAAGCAUAUCAAUAAGCGGAGGA
rnacentral:misc_RNA from 1 species